rnacentral:rRNA from 1 species
CCUACGGGGGGCAGCAGUGGGGAAUAUUGGACAAUGGGGGCAACCCUGAUCCAGCCAUGCCGCGUGUGUGAAGAAGGCCCUCGGGUUGUAAAGCACUUUCAGUGAGGAAGAACGCCUGGUGGUUAAUACCCAUCAGGAAAGACAUCACUCACAGAAGAAGCACCGGCUAACUCCGUGCCAGCAGCCGCGGUAAUACGGAGGGUGCGAGCGGUAAUCGGAAUUACUGGGCGUAAAGCGCGCGUAGGUGGCUUGAUAAGCCGGUUGUGAAAGCCCCGGGCUCAACCUGGGAACGGCAUCCGGAACUGUCAAGCUAGAGUGCAGGAGAGGAAGGUAGAAUUCCCGGUGUAGCGGUGAAAUGCGUAGAGAUCGGGAGGAAUACCAGUGGCGAAGGCGGCCUUCUGGACUGACACUGACACUGAGGUGCGGAAGCGUGGGUAGCAAACAGGAUUAGAUCCCCUGUAGUC